rnacentral:rRNA from 1 species
GUUAAGUCGGGGAUGAAAUCCUGGAGCUCAACUCCAGAACUGCCUGCGAAACUGACGAUCUGGAGUGCGGGAGAGGUGAGUGGAACUGCGAGUGUAGAGGUGAAAUUCGUAGAUAUUCGCAAGAACACCAGUGGCGAAGGCGGCUCACUGGCCCGAUACUGACGCUGAGGUGCGAAAGCGUGGGGAGCAAACAG